CGGAUGCAGCUCCUUCCCAGCACCGCGGGGUUUGGCCUCCGGGGAUGACGGCGAGACUCUCGGGACCUUGCCUUCUCCUUCUCCGCCCUCAACCAAUAUCUGCGCUGCGCCCAUCCUCACCGGCACCUGUCCCUCGAGGCCUGCCGAGGAGAACUGUACGGCCCCGGCGGGCAGGCCAAACCGGGCUUGAGUCUCGCUUCCUUAACCCUCACUCCACCCUCGGUAACUUACUCCCAGUGUCAGCACCUACAGCCGGUGCCCUUCCUCCGGCCGCGGCCCUCGUUUUUCCCCCCGCCACUCGCCGCAUGGACAGCGGCGGCUUCUCCUCAGCGCCCGUCCUCUAGUAUCGCACAGGCAGGGAGCUGCGGAGUGGCCUCCACAGUCACAAGGCGAAGGAGGCGGCGGCAGCAACAAACAAACAACUAAAACAGACCAGCGGUUCGACGUUCUGCAGCUCGCGCCACUUUCGUUUGGGUUCUCUAGCUCGCGCGCCCAACGGACUGCGCUCGCGCUUCCUGUGUCCCCGGCGGGCUACGAAACGUACUGACAACAACAGCGGCUCGCUUGCAGUCAGAGGAGCAGAAGGAGGAGGGAAAGGAAACGCAGGAUAGGGAGGAGCAUCGAAAGAGAAAGAGACUUGGACUGGACAGCCCUUCAAACAGAGGACUGUACUCUGGCAACCCUUCAAGUAGGACACAUGGCCACCCUGCCUGCUUUGCUCAUUUUCUGCUUACAAUUGUAAACCUGCAAGGAUUAUCUUGCUUCUGUUGAGUUUAUGUGAGCUGUUCUGGGCAGCUUGGAUCUUUUUUGGCUGAAGAAUGGGGUAAAAAUGCAUUGAACAAACAAAACGUAGUCCGUUUGGUAUUUCCAUCACACGUCAACAGAAAUAUGGAUACAAUAUCUUCAUUCCAUGCAAGCCAUCUUAACCUUCAAUAGCAGUUGGUUGUUAAUACAUUAGUACAUAGUGUCUCAGUAUGUCAGCCAAUGAAGUUAAACAUUUUCAGGAGUGGUGGAGUGAUAGAUACGGAGAAAUGCAGAGUGGCUGACGAUGAGAAAUAUACUGAUAGUUGAAAUGUGUAGCAAAAACUGUAACUACAACUUCCUUGUUGCCAAUAGAAGUUAUCUACUUGUUGAAAGGUGAAUGGCUAUCCAGCAGCAAAAGGACAUUCAUCCAGACAACAAUAGCUUCUCGG